GAUGUAUCUAGAAAAUACUUGUCAUCGAAAUGGACAAAAGAAGAUGUAUCUAGAUGUAUUUUAGUUCUAGAUACAUUCGUUUUUAUCCAUUUUGAUGACAAAUAUUUCCGGACGGAUGAAGUACUAA
rnacentral:pre_miRNA from 1 species